rnacentral:rRNA from 1 species
GUGGGGAAUAUUGGACAAUGGGCGAAAGCCUGAUCCAGCCAUGCCGCGUGUGUGAAGAAGGUCUUCGGAUUGUAAAGCACUUUAAGUUGGGAGGAAGGGCAGUAAGUUAAUACCUUGCUGUUUUGACGUUACCAACAGAAUAAGCACCGGCUAACUUCGUGCCAGCCGCCGCGGUAAUACGACGGGUGCAAGCGUUACUCGUAAUUACUGGGCGUACAGCGCGCGUAGGUGCUUCAGCAAGUUGAAGGUGAAAGCCCCGGGCUCAACCUGGGAACUGCCUCCAAAACUACUGGGCUAGAGUACGGUAGAGGGUAGUGGAAUGUCCUGUGUAGCGGUGAAAUGCGUAGAUAUAGGAAGGAACACCAGUGGCGAAGGCGACUACCUGGACUGAUACUGACACUGAGGUGCGAAAGCGUGGGGAGCAAACAGGAUUAGAUACCCGGGUAGUCC